AUGUCUUUUGCAGGCGUAUCCUUGAUCCGCGACGGCAAACUAUGCCUUUCCCGGUCGGCCAUCAACGACGCCGGCGCCGCCAGUGGGUACCACCUGCUUGUGGUUGAAGGCUACUCGCGCACCAAGGCCGACGUCCCCAACGGCGAUCACAUCGAGUCUGCCCCUUUCAGAGUCGGAGGGUAUCUCUGGCUUCUCAGGUAUUUCCCUAAUGGAUCGGUGUCAGACAGGGCCCGCUAUGUAUCUGUUGCCCUCAUCCUCGCUCAGGAUAUUGCCAAGCCUGUGAAGGUGCAGUAUGGGUUCAGUUUCCUUGGCCAGUCGGACAAGCAGGACUCAACAUACAUCCGUUCCGCUCAAGUACGCCACUUCCCUCUCAAAUCUCGUGGUUGGUCAUGCACCACUUUCAUAAGCAGAGAUGACUUGGAAGACUCACGACAUCUGAGGAACGAUAGUUUCACCAUCCGGUGCGAUGUCGUCGUCAUCGAGGCCGCCGUCGACACCAAGGGAACCGGCGCCGCCUUGCCGUUCGUUACGGUGCCGCCGCCCGACAUGCACCGGCACUUCAUCGAUCUCCUCACGGCCAAGAAUGGCACCGUCGUGAAGUUCAAGGUUGGCGGCCAGACAUUCACCGCUCACCGGUGCGUCCUUGUGGCCCGGUCUAGGGUCUUCAAGGCCGAGCUUUUUGGCCCGAUGAAGGAGGGCACAUCUACCGCUAGUGCCAUACACAUAGAUGACAUGGAGCCUCGAGUUUUCAGGGCAAUGCUUGCAUUCAUUUAUUGUGACUCGGAGCCGGAGAUGGAGAAGGAAGAUGGUGAAGAUGCGAUAUGGCAAUGGCUGCACCUGCUCGUCGCGGCCGAUAGGUACGAUCUGCAGCGGUUAAAGCUCAUAUGUGAAGCUAAGAUAUGCGGGUUCAUUGGCGUAACCACGACAACCAUCCUGGAACUUGCUGAGAACCACCAAUGUGAUGGGCUGAGGAAGGCCUGCUACAAAUUUCUGGGCGCGCCCGGGAAUCUGAGGGCUGUCGCGGCCAUUGAUGGUUUCGACGAUCUAAUUAGAAGCCAACCGUCCGUCGUGAAGGAACUGAUCAUGAUGCUUGCGCCCUAG
rnacentral:rRNA from 1 species